UCCCCGGUAGCUCAGUCGGUAGAGCAAGUGACUGUUAAUCACUGGGUCGGCGGUUCGAGCCCGUCCC
rnacentral:tRNA from 1 species